rnacentral:rRNA from 1 species
CCUGUGGUUCUGUUUUGUUGGUUUCUGGAACCGCGGUAAUGAUUAAUAGGGAUAGUUGGGGGCAUUCGUAUCUCGUAGCUAGAGGUGAAAUUCUUGGAUUUACGAGCGACGAACCUAUGCGAAAGCAUUUGCCAAGGAUGUUUUCAUUGAUCAAGAACGAAAGUUAGGGGAUCGAAGACGAUUAGAUACCGUCGUAGUCUUAACCAUAAACGAUGCCGACUAGGGAUUGGGCGAUGUUGUUUCUGACUCGCUCAGCACCUUCAGAGAAAUCAAAGUGUUUGGGUUUUGGGGGAAGUAUGGUCGCAAGGCUGAAACUUAAAGGAAUUGACGGAAGGGCACCACCAGGAGUGGAGCCUGCGGCUUAAAUCGACUCAACACGGGAAACUCACC